rnacentral:lncRNA from 1 species
GCGCUUCUUGCUGCCAACAUGUGAAGAAAGACGUGUUUGCUUCCCCUUCCACCAUGAUUGUAAAAUCAACAAGGAAGGCGAUGAGCACAGCAGUGUGAAGGUACUGAAGGCUUUGAUGGGAGAAAGCAUCUCAUUUCCCAUUUCUGAGAAACAGAAAAAUAAGACCUGAAUAAAGCCCAUGACAAUCAAUUUGAAACUACUCUCAAAACCAAGAGGCCAACUGGAGUCCAACUUCAAAGCACUGACACAUUUGGUGUCUGAUGAUGUCCGGCUUUCUCAUAGACGGCUACCUUCUUCUCACUGUUACCUCAUAUGGUGGAAGAGAAAGUAUCAUCUGCCAGGAUUCUCAGUCCUGGACAGCAAGCAGUUAACCCUGGGGAAGGGAGAAAGGAGAAGACAAUGGAGGAAUGGUCUUCAUUUCCAGGGGCAUCUGCUUCCCAAAAUGAAACAUUUGGAAGUUUUUUGAGGGCUCAAGAAGGGAGCUCUAAAAUGCAACAUGUGAAGUGAGGUUAUUUAAAUUCUGAUCUAACUGUGUGGCCUAUCUUCAUGCCUGCAUUAAAAUUGUUCAGACUUUGA